rnacentral:tRNA from 2 species
GGCUCAUUAGAAUAGAUGGUAGUUCAUCCCCCUUCAGGAUAGGCACAUAAUCGUGGCUAUGCUGAAGGGGAAGGCAGAAGUUCGAAUCUUCUAUGAGUCA